CACUCACACACUGUCCAUCCCAUCUGGAUCAUUCCUGUGUUUGCUGGUGUGAGAACUGGCCAUUGUCAUCAUGACUCUGCUGCUCACUCUGCCCCAAAUCACUCACGCUAGUUAGUAUCAAACUUCAGUGACAUGGUGAUAAAUCAGCUCAGAUUGAUUUUUUUUUCCCCCCCAAUUACCUGUCAUUUUGUCUAUUGUAGGCUGGAGAGAGAAGCUGCUGUUCCAGGCAGGAAUUCCCACCAUCACCAGCCUUGGCAAGCUGCUUCCUUCCCUGUUUCUCAGUUAAUGAAAUCUGCGCACUUCUGGUACCUUCACCUGAGACAAACUGUAACAGGCAAAAGAAAAGCUACGUGGCAGGAUGACAAACAUGUUCACCUCCUGCUCCUCUGCACUAAAACACUCUCGCUCAGUGACAAGACCACAGCUGUUGCCAUCGUUUCCUUACCUGCAGAGUGCAAUAUUUAGCUGGAGGGACACUGAAGUUUUUCUGUUUGUUAGUUAUCAGGUCAACAACUCUCACCUUAUCACUUCAGUUUUCAUUCUGUUGAUAAAACCUGUCAGCCUUCCUUGAGUGGUUCCAGGCCCUCAGAAGAAAUCACAUUAAAUUGGCACAACCAAGUAAAUCUGGAAGGGAUGUGCUCCUGGCUUACCAAAGGAAAUGGGGGAGGGCUUGAAUUUCUCUCCCUCUUCCUCCCUGCACAGCUCCAAUGUCCAAGUGCUUGGAGCAGUGUUGAAAUCCUCCCUACGGAUUCAGCAGUUCAAGUCAGAUCAGGUCUUUGAAUAUGGCCCAGAGGAGACGUCUGUGGAGCUGAAAUUGAUAUGUUUAAGUGCAAGAGACAAUAAUCAUUUCUUCGAGUAUAAGCUAAAAAUACCCAGAAAAAAGUGGAAUUCAUAAUGGAGAUUUUAAAGAUCUGUGACACACCAGAGCCUGCACAAGGGUUUUAAUGAGAGGGAAGCCAGUUUAAUUGGUCAGUGCGAGCAGAUGCUUUGCUGGGUGAGUGGGCUACGAGGUCUCACGUCCCUGGUUAAUGCCAGGAGCAUCAGCCCUGUCCUCAACAUGGCUGUGACAAGCUCAUGUCACAGCAGUGCAGUGUCAGAGCCAGGGAACCUCGGUAAUCAACGUCUCCACAGUGUCAGAUCACAGAGCCACAGGGAGAGAGCACUAAAAAGAGGAGGUAAAAGCCGAGAAAGGAACGUUCCUAAAGGUAAUUGCAGACUGACCAUCUCCUCUUGUCCUUUGCUUCAUUAUCACUCUGGGCACGAACCUGAACCGGCCCGGUAAGUUUUAACACUGCAUUAACAGGGAGCUGCUGAGCACCAGGGCUCAGGCUCGCAGGCCUCCCCUGUGAAAACUCUUCUGGAGUGUGUCACCAUCCUAGGAAAGCCAGGAAUAACUUCCAUGGCCCGUUCAAUUACAGACACUCACACCCAGCUCCCUCUCCUCGUGGCACGGCUCAUCAAUCAGGGCUUCUGUCACCGUGUCUCUUCUCAUCGCAGUCACCAGAAGGCUCUGAGCUCCCUCCCAAUCCGUGUGACAUUUACUGUCAGGGGCUGUCAACACCACAAGAUUCUCCCAGGGCCUCCGAGUUCAUCACAAAGCAACAAGAUCUAUCCCCCAAACGCACUCCCAGUUCCAGCUCUGGAUUACAGUGACUGACUGAGGGGCUUUGCAGCACGCAGGGAAGAGUGAAACAGCAGCACGAGCUGCAGCUUAUGCCCAAAUACCUUUGUUUUCUUAUUCUCUUGUUCGAAAAAUACAACUGCUUUAAGAGAGGUUUCAGGCUUAUGAUUAAUUAGGCUUCCUCAACACCAUCCCUUAUAAACUUAUUAAGAGAAAGCUGAGAUUGUUUACUUGGAAAUUUAGCCUUCCCAUCUUUAGCAUUGAUCCUGCCUUCACUCUCUGCUUAACA